GCCCUGGCAGUCAGAGGCGAUGAAGGACGUGCUAAUCUGCGAUAAGCGUCGGUAAGGUGAUAUGAACCGUUAUAACCGGCGAUUUCCGAAUGGGGAAACCCAGUGUGAUUCGUCACACUAUCAUUAACUGAAUCCAUAGGUUAAUGAGGCGAACCGGGGGAACUGAAACAUCUAAGUACCCCGAGGAAAAGAAAUCAACCGAGAUUCCCCCAGUAGCGGCGAGCGAACGGGGAGGAGCCCAGAGCCUGAAUCAGUGUGUGUGUUAGUGGAAGCGUCUGGAAAGGCGCGCGAUACAGGGUGACAGCCCCGUACACAAAAAUGCACAUGCUGUGAGCUCGAUGAGUAGGGCGGGACACGUGGUAUCCUGUCUGAAUAUGGGGGGACCAUCCUCCAAGGCUAAAUACUCCUGACUGACCGAUAGUGAACCAGUACCGUGAGGGAAAGGCGAAAAGAACCCCGGCGAGGGGAGUGAAAAAGAACCUGAAACCGUGUACGUACAAGCAGUGGGAGCACAGAGCAAUCUGUGUGACUGCGUACCUUUUGUAUAAUGGGUCAGCGACUUAUAUUCUGUAGCAAGGUUAACCGAAUAGGGGAGCCGAAGGGAAACCGAGUCUUAACUGGGCGUUAAGUUGCAGGGUAUAGACCCGAAACCCGGUGAUCUAGCCAUGGGCAGGUUGAAGGUUGGGUAACACUAACUGGAGGACCGAACCGACUAAUGUUGAAAAAUUAGCGGAUGACUUGUGGCUGGGGGUGAAAGGCCAAUCAAACCGGGAGAUAGCUGGUUCUCCCCGAAAGCUAUUUAGGUAGCGCCUCGUGAAUUCAUCUCCGGGGGUAGAGCACUGUUUCGGCAAGGGGGUCAUCCCGACUUACCAACCCGAUGCAAACUGCGAAUACCGGAGAAUGUUAUCACGGGAGACACACGGCGGGUGCUAACGUCCGUCGUGAAGAGGGAAACAACCCAGACCGCCAGCUAAGGUCCCAAAGUCAUGGUUAAGUGGGAAACGAUGUGGGAAGGCCCAGACAGCCAGGAUGUUGGCUUAGAAGCAGCCAUCAUUUAAAGAAAGCGUAAUAGCUCACUGGUCGAGUCGGCCUGCGCGGAAGAUGUAACGGGGCUAAACCAUGCACCGAAGCUGCGGCAGCGACACUAUGUGUUGUUGGGUAGGGGAGCGUUCUGUAAGCCUGUGAAGGUGUGCUGUGAGGCAUGCUGGAGGUAUCAGAAGUGCGAAUGCUGACAUAAGUAACGAUAAAGCGGGUGAAAAGCCCGCUCGCCGGAAGACCAAGGGUUCCUGUCCAACGUUAAUCGGGGCAGGGUGAGUCGACCCCUAAGGCGAGGCCGAAAGGCGUAGUCGAUGGGAAACAGGUUAAUAUUCCUGUACUUGGUGUUACUGCGAAGGGGGGACGGAGAAGGCUAUGUUGGCCGGGCGACGGUUGUCCCGGUUUAAGCGUGUAGGCUGGUUUUCCAGGCAAAUCCGGAAAAUCAAGGCUGAGGCGUGAUGACGAGGCACUACGGUGCUGAAGCAACAAAUGCCCUGCUUCCAGGAAAAGCCUCUAAGCAUCAGGUAACAUCAAAUCGUACCCCAAACCGACACAGGUGGUCAGGUAGAGAAUACCAAGGCGCUUGAGAGAACUCGGGUGAAGGAACUAGGCAAAAUGGUGCCGUAACUUCGGGAGAAGGCACGCUGAUAUGUAGGUGAAGCGACUUGCUCGUGGAGCUGAAAUCAGUCGAAGAUACCAGCUGGCUGCAACUGUUUAUUAAAAACACAGCACUGUGCAAACACGAAAGUGGACGUAUACGGUGUGACGCCUGCCCGGUGC
rnacentral:rRNA from 1 species